rnacentral:rRNA from 1 species
AUUGAACGCUGGCGGCAUGCCUUACACAUGCAAGUCGAACGGCAGCGGGGGAGAAGCUUGCUUUUCCUGCCGGCGAGUGGCGAACGGGUGAGUAAUACAUCGGAACGUGCCCUGUAGUGGGGGAUAACUAGUCGAAAGAUUAGCUAAUACCGCAUACGACCUGAGGGUGAAAGUGGGGGCCCGCAAGGCCUCAUGCUAUAGGAGCGGCCGAUGUCUGAUUAGCUAGUUGGUGGGGUAAAGGCCUACCAAGGCGACGAUCAGUAGCUGGUCUGAGAGGACGAUCAGCCACACUGGGACUGAGACACGGCCCAGACUCCUACGGGAGGCAGCAGUGGGGAAUUUUGGACAAUGGGCGAAAGCCUGAUCCAGCAAUGCCGCGUGUGUGAAGAAGGCCUUCGGGUUGUAAAGCACUUUUGUCCGGAAAGAAAUGGCUCUGGUUAAUACCUGGGGUCGAUGACGGUACCGGAAGAAUAAGGACCGGCUAACUACGUGCCAGCCGCCGCCGUAAUAC